rnacentral:rRNA from 1 species
ACGAACGCUGGCGGCGUGGAUAAGACAUGCAAGUCGAACGAGAGAAUUGCUAGCUUGCUAAUAAUUCUCUAGUGGCGCACGGGUGAGUAACACGUGAGUAACCUGCCCCCGAGAGCGGGAUAGCCCUGGGAAACUGGGAUUAAUACCGCAUAGUAUCGAAAGAUUAAAGCAGCAAUGCGCUUGGGGAUGGGCUCGCGGCCUAUUAGUUAGUUGGUGAGGUAACGGCUCACCAAGGCGAUGACGGGUAGCCGGUCUGAGAGGAUGUCCGGCCACACUGGAACUGAGACACGGUCCAGACACCUACGGGUGGCAGCAGUCGAGAAUCAUUCACAAUGGGGGAAACCCUGAUGGUGCGACGCCGCGUGGGGGAAUGAAGGUCUUCGGAUUGUAAACCCCUGUCAUGUGGGAGCAAAUUAAAAAGAUAGUACCACAAGAGGAAGAGACGGCUAACUCUGUGCCAGCAGCCGCGGUAAUACAGAGGUCUCAAGCGUUGUUCGGAAUCACUGGGCGUAAAGCGUGCGUAGGCUGUUUCGUAAGUCGUGUGUGAAAGGCGCGGGCUCAACCCGCGGACGGCACAUGAUACUGCGAGACUAGAGUAAUGGAGGGGGAACCGGAAUUCUCGGUGUAGCAGUGAAAUGCGUAGAUAUCGAGAGGAACACUCGUGGCGAAGGCGGGUUCCUGGACAUUAACUGACGCUGAGGCACGAAGGCCAGGGGAGCGAAAGGGAUUAGAUACCCCUGUAGUCCUGGCAGUAAACGGUGCACGCUUGGUGUGCGGGGAAUCGACCCCCUGCGUGCCGGAGCUAACGCGUUAAGCGUGCCGCCUGGGGAGUACGGUCGCAAGAUUAAAACUCAAAGAAAUUGACGGGGACCCGCACAAGCGGUGGAGUAUGUGGCUUAAUUCGAUGCAACGCGAAGAACCUUACCUGGGCUUGACAUGUAAUGAACAACAUGUGAAAGCAUGCGACUCUUCGGAGGCGUUACACAGGUGCUGCAUGGCCGUCGUCAGCUCGUGUCGUGAGAUGUUUGGUUAAGUCCAGCAACGAGCGCAACCCCUGUUGCCAGUUACCAGCACGUGAAGGUGGGGACUCUGGCGAGACUGCCCAGAUCAACUGGGAGGAAGGUGGGGACGACGUCAGGUCAGUAUGGCCCUUAUGCCCAGGGCUGCACACGUACUACAAUGCCCAGUACAGAGGGGGCCGAAGCCGCGAGGCGGAGGAAAUCCUGAAAACUGGGCCCAGUUCGGACUGUAGGCUGCAACCCGCCUACACGAAGCCGGAAUCGCUAGUAAUGGCGCAUCAGCUACGGCGCCGUGAAUACGUUCCCAGGUCUUGUACACACCGCCCGUCACAUCAUGGAAGCCGGUCGCACCCGAAGUAUCUGAAGCCAACCGCAAGGAGGCAGGGUCCUAAGGUGAGACUGGUAACUGGGAUG